GACAGAGGGUGCAAACGUUGCUCGGAAUCACUGGGCGUAAAGGGCGUGUAGGCGGGAAGGAAAGUCAGAUGUGAAAUCCCUGGGCUCAACCCAGGAACUGCAUUUGAAACUCCCUUUCUUGAGUACCGGAGAGGAAAGUGGAAUUCCUGGUGUAGAGGUGAAAUUCGUAGAUAUCAGGAGGAACACCAGUGGCGAAGGCGGCUUUCUGGACGGUAACUGACGCUGGAGAACGCGAAAGCGUGGGGAGCAAACAGG
rnacentral:rRNA from 1 species